CGGAGGCUACUGCUAUCGGGGUUCGAUUAAGCCAUGCGAGUUAAAUGUUCUUCGUCAACAUAGCGAACUGCUCAGUAACACGUGGAUAACCUACCCUUAGGACCGGAAUAACCCCGGGAAACUGGGGAUAAUACCGGAUAAGCCAUAGACCCUGGAAUGCCCUAUGGUUCAAAGCUCCGGCCCCUAAGGAUGGAUCUGCGGUCUAUCAGGUUGUAGUGGGUGUAACGUACCUACUAGCCGACGACGGAUACGGGUUGUGAGAGCAAGAGCCCGGAGAUGGAUUCUGAGACACGAAUCCAGGCCCUACGGGGUGCAGCAGGCGCGAACACUUUACAAUGCGGGAAACCGCGAUAAGGGAACCCCGAGUGCCAGCAUCAAAUGUUGGCUGUCCGGAUGAUUAAAAAUCAUUUGUUAGCAAGGGCCGGGCAAGACCGGUGCCAGCCGCCGCGGUAACACCGGCGGCCCGAGUGGUAGCCGUUUUUAUUGGGUCUAAAGGGUCCGUAGCCGGCCUGAUAAGUCCUUUGGGAAAUCUGGCAGCUUAACUGUCAGGCUUCUAAGGGAUACUGUCAGGCUUGGGACCGGAAGAGGUAAGGGGUACUCCAGGGGUAGGAGUGAAAUCUUGUAAUCCCUGGGGGACCAUCUGUGGCGAAGGCGCCUUACCAAAACGGGUCCGACGGUGAGGGACGAAAGCUAGGGGAGCAAACCGGAUUAGAUACCCGGGUAGUCCUAGCUGUAAACGAUGCUCGCUAGGUGUCAGACACGGUGCGACCGUGUUUGGUGCCGCAGGGAAGCCGUUAAGCGAGCCACCUGGGAAGUACGGUCGCAAGGCUGAAACUUAAAGGAAUUGGCGGGGGAGCACUACAACGGGUGGAGCCUGCGGUUUAAUUGGAUUCAACGCCGGAAAACUUCACCGGGUGCGACAGCAACAUGUAGGUCAGGCUGAAGGUCUUACCUGAAUCGCUGAGAGGAGGUGCAUGGCCGUCGUCAGUUCGUACUGUGAAGCAUUCCUGUUAAGUCAGGCAACGAGCGAGACCCGCGCCCACAGUUGCCAGCAUGUUCUCUGGAACGAUGGGUACACUGUGGGGACCGCCGCUGCUAAAGCGGAGGAAAGAACGGGCUACGGUAGGUCAGUAUGCCCCGAAUCUCCCGGGCUACACGCGGGCUACAAUGGUUGGGACAAUGGGCACCCUACCCUG
rnacentral:rRNA from 1 species